rnacentral:lncRNA from 1 species
CUGGCCCCCACCCUCUGCAUUUGCCAUCCAGCAGGUCUGGGUGGGUACCAGGAUGCGGAUUCGUAACAGGAGAGGCUGAUGCUGCCAGUCUGGGUCCACAUUUUGAGAAGCAUUCCUCCAAGGGUCCCACCCACGCUCAUACCCCAGAUGAAGCCAGGUUGCUAAGACAGUCUGAAAACAACUACCAAAGAACAGAGGUGCUGCUCAUGGUUACCCCAGUGUGCUGCAGCCCCUGUCCUCCAGACAGUGACAGCAGAGUGGACCUAAUUUUGAUACUUUGUAAACAUUGGACCAAGUCUGACAAUGCCUGCCAGGAUGGGCACUGAUGAAUAUGGUUGAACGGAACUCCAAGGACCACCCAGGUUGAUAGUAGUGAGGAACGAGGUGCACUGAGCACUUGUCGGGGCUGUGUUUGGAGCCCAUCAACAGUGCUACCAGCUUUAGUUCCAUCAACCCCAGGCUUUUGUAACAACUGGUUGCAUGAAACCCUCCCUUGUAGUUUGUGUACAGAAGACUGCAAUGAAUUGAAGUCAUGAGACAUACAGCCAGGAUCCUGAAAGCCACCAACAUAUGUCACCUGCCUGGGAGGCUUGCUUCGAUGGUCAUCUUGUUCUGCCUGCUAAGACCAGGAGUCACAGCUGUUGACAUCAUGGUGAAUAAAAACAUUUUCUGCCACAGGUA